rnacentral:rRNA from 1 species
AAAGUCGGGGCCUAAGGCCAGGUCGAAAGACGUAACCGGUGGACAACAGGUUGAAAUUCCUGUACCUUAAGUAAACAGAACUGUGGGGACACGUGUGGAGAGCACAAGCCGGAAAUGGAAAAGCCGGUGCAAGCGAGGUAGGAGUACAGUAGGCAAAUCCGCUGUACAAUCCGAAGACGUGAUGCGGACCGAAUUAAGAGUAGGGAAGUGUGUGAGCCGUGCGUCAAGAAAAGCCGCUAUUGUUUUACUUAGGCCCGUACCGUAAACCGACACAGGUGGAUGAGGAGAGAAUCCUAAGGCCGACGGGAGAAGCAUUGUUAAGGAACUCGGCAAAAUGACUCCGUAACCUCGGGAGAAGGAGUGCCAGCGAGAGCUGGCCGCAGAGAAUUGGCCCAAGCAACUGUUUAGCAAAAACACAGGUCUAUGCAAAACCGUAAGGUGAAGUAUAUGGGCUGACGCCUGCCCGGUGCUGGAAGGUUAAGAGGAGAGGUUAGCGGUAACGCGAAGCCUUGAAUUUAAGCCCCAGUAAACGGCGGCCGUAACGAUAACGGUCCUAAGGUAGCGAAAUUCCUUGUCGGGUAAGUUCCGACCCGCACGAAAGGCGUAAUGAUUUGGGCACUGUCUCAACAAUGCACCCGGUGAAAUUGAAAUACCAGUGAAGAUGCUGGUUACCUGCGCCAGGACGGAAAGACCCCAUGGAGCUUUACUCCAGCUUGAUACUGGGAUUCGGUAUUGCAUGUACAGGAUAGGUGGGAGGCUAGGAAGUGAUAACGCCAGUUGUCACGGAGCCGCUGUUGGGAUACCACCCUUGCAGUAUUGGAUUUCUAACCAGCGACCAUGAACUGGUCGGGGGACAAUGUCAGGUGGGGAGUUUGACUGGGGCGGUCGCCUCCGAAAGGGUAUCGGAGGCGCUCAAAGGUUCCCUCAGAAUGGACGGAAACCAUUCGAAGAGUGCAAAGGCAGAAGGGAGCUUGACUGCGACACCGACGGGUGGAGCAGGUACGAAAGUAGGACUUAGUGAUCCGGUGGUAUAAAGUGGGAUUGCCAUCGCUCAACGGAUAAAAGCUACCCUGGGAUAACAGGCUUAUCACUCCCAAGAGUUCACAUCGACGGAGUGGUUUGGCACCUGGAUGUCGGCUCAUCGCAUCCUGGGGCUGAAGUAGGUCCCAAGGGUUGGGCUGUUCGCCCAUUAAAGCGGUACGCGAGCUGGGUUCAGAACGUCGUGAGACAGUUCGGUCCCUAUCCGGCGUGGGCGUAGGAUAUUUGAGAGGAGCUGUCCUUAGUACGAGAGGACCGGGAUGGACUGGCCGCUGGUGUAUCUGUUGCAUACCAAAUGCAUGGCAGAGUAGCCAAGCCGGGACGGGAUAAACGCUGAAGGCAUCUAAGCGUGAAGCCCCCCUCAAGAUGAGAUAUCCCUACGUAAGUAGUAAGACCCCUUGAAGACGACGAGGUAGAUAGGUCAGAGGUGGAAGUACAGUAAUGUAUGGAGCUGACUGAUACUAAUCGGUCGAGGGCAUGACC